rnacentral:rRNA from 1 species
UACGGAGGAUCCAAGCGUUAUCCGGAAUCAUUGGGUUUAAAGGGUCCGUAGGCGGUUUAAUAAGUCAGUGGUGAAAGCCCAUCGCUCAACGGUGGAACGGCCAUUGAUACUGUUAAACUUGAAUUAUUAGGAAGUAACUAGAAUAUGUAGUGUAGCGGUGAAAUGCUUAGAGAAUUACAUGGAAUACCAAUUGCGGAAGGCAGGUUACUACUAAUGGAUUGACGCUGAUGGACGAAGCGUG